GAUCAUGGCUCAGGAUGAACGCUGGCGGCGUGCCUAACACAUGCAAGUCGAACGGACUUUUCAUGAAGCCUAGCGAUUGAAAAGUUAGUGGCGGACGGGUGAGUAACGCGUGGGUAACCUGCCUUGUACGUGGGGACAACAGUUGGAAACGACUGCUAAUACCGCAUAAGCGCACAGCUUCGCAUGAAGCAGUGUGAAAAACUCCGGUGGUACAAGAUGGACCCGCGUCUGAUUAGCUGG
rnacentral:rRNA from 1 species